CCUACGGGUGGCAGCAGUAGGGAAUAUUGCUCAAUGGGGGCAACCCUGAUGCAGCAACGCCGCGUGGAGGAUGAAGGUUUUCGGAUUGUAAACUCCUUUUGUUAGAGAAGAUAAUGACUGUGUCGAUCGAAUAAUCACCGGCUAACUCCGUGCCAGCAGCAGCGGUAAUACGAAGGGUGCAAGCGUGACUCGGAAUCACUGGUCGUAAAGAGCGCGUAGGCGGGAUAGCAAGUCAGAUGUGAAAUCCUAUGUCUUAACCAUAGAACUGCAUUUGAAAGUGUUAUACUAGAGUAUGGGAGGGGUAGGUGGAAUUCCUGGUGUAGGGGUAAAAUCCGUAGAGAUCAAGAGGAAUACUCAUUGCGAAGGCGACCUGCUAGAACAUAACUGACGCUGAUGCGCGAAAGCGUGGGGAGCAAACAGGAUUAGAUACCCGAGUAGUC
rnacentral:rRNA from 1 species